rnacentral:rRNA from 1 species
UACGUAGGUGACAAGCGUUGUCCGGAAUUACUGGGCGUAAAGGGUGCGCAGGUGGUUGUUUAAGCCUGCUGUGAAAGCCCCGGGCUCAACCUGGGAAUGGCAGUGGAUACUGGACAGCUAGAGUGCGGUAGAGGGUAGUGGAAUUCCCGGUGUAGCAGUGAAAUGCGUAGAGAUCGGGAGGAACACCAGUGGCGAAGGCGGCUACCUGGACCAGCACUGACACUGAAGCACGAAAGCGUGGGGAGCAAACAGG